rnacentral:rRNA from 1 species
UGGGGGAUAUUGCACAAUGGGCGAAAGCCUGAUGCAGCGACGCCGCGUGGGGGAUGAAGGCCUUCGGGUUGUAAACUUCUUUUGCUCUGAACAAGGCGCACCAUGGGGUGUGUUGAGUGUAGGGGUUGAUUAGCGCCGGCUAACUACGUGCCAGCAGCCGCGGUAAUACGUAGGGCGCGAGCGUUGUCCGGAAGUAUUGGGCGUAAAGGGCUUGUAGGUGGCUGGUUGCGUCUGUCGUGAAAGCUCAUGGCUUAACUGUGGGUUUGCGGUGGGUACGGGCUGGCUUGAGUGCAGUAGGGGAGGCUGGAAUUCCUGGUGUAGCGGUGGAAUGCGCAGAUAUCAGGAGGAAUACCGGUGGCGAAGGCGGGUCUCUGGGCUGUUACUGACACUGAGGAGCGAAAGCAUGGGGAGCGAACAGG